rnacentral:ncRNA from 1 species
AGUAUAUUUCUUUCUUUCUUUUGCUUUUCUAAAUAUAUGGUCUAUAAGGCCUCUUUUUCCGAGGAUGCGAGCGAUCAGCGAGAUACUACUCUAAAAGAGCUAGAAUUCUAAUCUUAUGUCAAGACCUAUAUGUCAAGGAACAGUGUUAGGUAGAUAUUUUCUAUUAGGUGUAGGCUUCUCAAAAACUAAUAAAAGCAUGCAAAGUUUUUUUGGGGCCGAACGAAGAUUGAACCUCGAAUGUAAAAGCAGAAGGAAUCUUAACUGCAAGACUCAUUUGUCAAGCAAGAAUGAAAAUCAGCCUUAAUAAUCCUAUGAUGCUGAGUGAAAAAUUCGUUGUUCAAUGAAUAA